ACCGCAUACGCCCUACGGGGGAAAGAUUUAUCGGGGAUGGAUGAGCCCGCGUUGGAUUAGCUAGUUGGUGGCGUAAAGGCCUACCAAGGCGACGAUCCAUAGCUGGUCUGAGAGGAUGAUCAGCCACAUUGGGACUGAGACACGGCCCAAACUCCUACGGGAGGCAGCAGUGGGGAAUAUUGGACAAUGGGCGCAAGCCUGAUCCAGCCAUGCCGCGUGAGUGAUGAAGGCCUUAGGGUUGUAAAGCUCUUUCACCGAUGAAGAUAAUGACGGUAGUCGGAGAAGAAGCCCCGGCUAACUUCGUGCCAGCAGCCGCGGUAAUACGAAGGG
rnacentral:rRNA from 1 species